rnacentral:rRNA from 1 species
GACGAACGCUGGCGGCGUGCUUAACACAUGCAAGUCGAACGAAGAGCGACGGAAGCUUGCUUCUAUCAAUCUUAGUGGCGAACGGGUGAGUAACGCGUAAUCAACCUGCCCUUCAGAGGGGGACAACAGUUGGAAACGACUGCUAAUACCGCAUACGAUCUAACCUCGGCAUCGAGGAUAGAUGAAAGGUGGCCUCUACAUGUAAGCUAUCACUGCAGGAGGGGAUUGCGUCUGAUUAGCUAGUUGGAGGGGUAACGGCCCACCAAGGCGAUGAUCAGUAGCCGGUCUGAGAGGAUGAACGGCCACAUUGGGACUGAGACACGGCCCAGACUCCUACGGGAGGCAGCAGUGGGGAAUCUGCCGCAAUGGACGAAAGUCUGACGGAGCAACGCCGCGUGAGUGAUGACGGCCUUCGGGUUGUAAAGCUCUGUUAAUCGGGACGAAAGGCCUUCUUGCGAAUAGUGAGAAGGAUUGACGGUACCGGAAUAGAAAGCCACGGCUAACUACGUG